ACUCCAAUGUCCAAAAUGUUAUGGCUCCUAAAUUCCCUCUUGUUCAUAAAUGGGUUUUCAUGGGCCAGUUCACAGAUCGUUCUCACUCAGUCAGGCCUGGAAGUGAAAAAACCCGGAGAAUCCACCAGGCUCACCUGUUCCGUGUCAGGACUUGAUCUUAGCAGCAGCUACAUGGACUGGAUCCGGCAAUCUCCAGGGAAAGGGCUAGAGUGGUUGGUUUACUAUUAUUCAUCAUCUACCAACGGCUACUCCCCAACUAUCCGAGGGCGAUUCUCAGCCUCCAAAGAGAGUUCAAACUUCUAUCUCCAAAUGAACAACCUGAAACAAGAAGACUCGGCUGUCUAUUACUGUGCCAGAGAAACACAGUGGUGGAAUGGAACUUGA